rnacentral:rRNA from 1 species
AAGUCGUAACAAGGUUUCCGUAGGUGAACCUGCGGAAGGAUCAUUAACGAUUGCUUUGAGAUGUGCUGGCAUGCAGGUGCACUCUCAUUCUCUCUCACUCACCUGUGAACUAUUUAGAGCCGCGAGGCUCAAGUGGACUUCGGUCUGCGAAAAUACCUUUUUACUCGUGUCUAUAGAAUGUAAAUUUCUUUCCUUCAAUGGAUUGAAUUAUUAUCAUAUAACUUUCAACGACGGAUCUCUUGGUUCUCGCAUCGAUGACGAACGCAGCGAAUAGCGAUAUGUAAUGUGAAUUGCAGAUCUCAGUGAAUCAUCGAAUCUUUGAACGCACCUUGCACCCUUUGGUAUUCCGAAGGGUAUGCCUGUUUGAGAGUCAUUAUCAUCCUCAACUGGAAUAUUUGUUUAUUCCAGCUUGGAUUUGGAGGUCUUGCUGGUUGCAAAAUCAGCUCCUCUUAAAUGCAUUAGCGGUACAAGCAGAAUCGGCUUUGGUUUGAUAGAAAUAUCUAUGCUGUCGCUGAGGAACAUUAUGUGCAGCUUCCAAUUGUCUUCGGACUGUCUUUCAUUAGGCAUAUAUUGACUCUUGACCUCAAAUCAGGUAGGACUACCCGCUGAACUUAAGCAUAUCAGUAAGCGGAGGAAAAGAAACUAACAAGGAUUCCCCUAGUAACUGCGAGUGAAGAGGGAAAAGCUCAAAUUUAAAAUCUGUCAGUCCCUGAGGCUGUCCGAGUUGUAAAUUAGAGAAGUGCUAUCCGCGUUGGCCUGUGCACAAGUCUUUUGGAAAAAAGCAUCAUAGAGGGUGAAAAUCCCGUCUAUUGGCACAGACUCCCAGGGCUUUGUGAUGCGCUCUCAACGAGUCGAGUUGUUUGGGAAUGCAGCUCUAAUUGGGUGGUAAAUUCCAUCUAAAGCUAAAUAUAGGCGAGAAACCGAUAGCGAACAAGUACCGUGAGGGAAAGAUGAAAAGAACUUUGGAAAGAGAGUUAAACCGUAUGUGAAAUCGUUGGAAGGGAAACGCUUAAAGUCAGUCGUCUUUGUCGGGGAUCAGCUUGGCACUUGUGUCUUGCGCACUUCCCGGUAGAGGGGUCAGCAUCAAUUUAGAUGGUUGGAUAAAGGCUUGGGGAAUGUGGCAUCCUCGGGUGUGUUUAUAGACCCAGGUCGGAUACAAUCGUUUGGAUUGAGGAACUCAGUGUGAACUUGGGGCUUCGGCUCACAACCCGCACUUAGGAUGUUGGCAUAAUGGCUUUAAUCGACC